GGGGUUGUGGCUCAGUGGUAGAGCGCUUGCCUCACAUGUAUGAGGCACUGGGUUCAAUUCUCAGCACCA
rnacentral:tRNA from 1 species